GCGGUGUUUCCGGAAGGAGAGGAGCAGGGGUGUCAAUGAGAGUAAUUUGGGCGUCGAGGAGAGUGGACUCAGCAGAGUGAGUGGCGUAGACGUUACUUAAGAUGCCGUCGACGGUCAUUGUAGACGCCGCCGAUGAUGAUGAAGAUAAUGUCAGAUUACGAUUGAUUCUUUUAAUUUGAUCAGAAGAAGAAGAAAAAGCAGUUAGUGGUUUUGUAGAAGAAGAAGAAGCAACAGCAGCAGCAGAAGCGGAAGCCGAAGCCAAAGCCGAAGAAGAAGAAGAAGCACGUCGAGAUCGAGCAGUUGCUGAUGAUGACGUAAGAUGCGAACUUUUCGAUUUCGACGACGCCAUCACCUUCGACGACGUCGUUUCAGUGUGAUUUUCUCCUAAAUCUUCUCACUCU
rnacentral:misc_RNA from 1 species